UACGUAGGGGCGUAGCGUUAUCCGGAAUUACUGGGCGUAAAGGGUGCGUAGGUGGUUUCUUAAGUCAGAGGUGAAAGGCUACGGCUCAACCGUAGUAAGCCUUUGAAACUGGGAAACUUGAGUGCGGGAGAGGAGAGUGGAAAUCCUAGUGUAGCGGUGAAAUGCGUAGAUAUUAGGAGGAACACCAGUUGCGAAGGCGGCUCUCUGGACUGUAACUGACACUGAGGCACGAAAGCGUGGGGAGCAAACAGGAUUAGAUACCCCCGUAGUCCCUGAGCGGGCUGG
rnacentral:rRNA from 1 species